CCUACGGAAGGCAGCAGUAAGGAAUAUUGGACAAUGGUCGCAAGACUGAUCCAGCCAUGCCGCGUGAAGGAUGAAGGCCCUAUGGGUUGUAAACUUCUUUUGUAUGGGAAAAAACCCUUCUACGUGUAGAAGGCUGAUUGUACCAUAAGAAUAAGGAUCGGCUAACUCCGUGCCAGCAGCCGCGGUAAUACGGAGGAUCCAAGCGUUAUCCGGAUUCAUUGGGUUUAAAGGGUGCGUAGGCGGAAUGAUAAGUCAGUGGUGAAAUCCUGCAGCUUAACUGCAGAACUGCCAUUGAUACUGUCAAUCUUGGGUACAUUUGAUGUGGGCGGAAUGUGUCAUGUAGCGGUGAAAUGCUUAGAUAUGACACAGAACACCGAUUGCGAAGGCAGCUCACAAAACUGUAACUGACGCUGAGGCACGAAAGCGUGGGUAUCAAACAGGAUUAGAUACCCUGGUAGUCCACGCUGUAAACUAUGAUUACCUGAUGUUUGCGAUACAACUGUAAGCGUCUAGACGAAGAGAGUAAGUAAUACCACCGUAGGGAGGUACGCGUCGCGAAGAGUAGAACGUACGAAAGUAGAAGUUAGGACGGCGUUGGAGGACGUUACGCCGACGGACGACGACGACGGGGAGGUUAGGGAAGG
rnacentral:rRNA from 1 species